rnacentral:lncRNA from 1 species
CGAGGGUCAAUGAAAAAUCCAACAACAUGAAAGGGCAAAAGUCCUAACUAUUAGAUCAGUUACGAAACCCCCUUCAAAAAAAAUUAGUUACAAAAUAAUUGCACAGAUGUCAUAUGUACUUUUUUUGAAUAAUUGUCGUAUGUGCGUCAAAUAUCAGAAAAUCCAACAACACGACAGGGAAAAGUCCUAACUAUUAGAUUAUGCACAAAUAAUUGCAUAAGUGUCAUAUGUGCUUAAACAAUCAGGUUAACCAACUGCUCCUUCCGUUCCAAAUCUUAAUAUUACUAAUUGGAAGUUCCUUUUGAAACCUAUGAUGAAGUCACCUAGAAUUCCUAGGUGAACACUAUAGAAAAAGAGAAAAAUCAUAGAAAUUCUCACAAAAAAGCAAAAACAUCCGACCAUCAAUUGAUAGGUUCAAAUCAUCAUAGCCAUUGGAUCUAUUAUAUUUUCUAAAAAAUUACCCACCUGUGCCAUUAUGAAAAUAGCCUAAAGUAACCCCUAAAUCUAUAUAUAAAUUACCCACCUCUGCUCUACCAUUAUAUAAAAUAAACUAAAGUAACCCCCUAAUUUUCAUCAAAAUUACCCACUUAUGCCAUUAUAAAUAAUAUUUAAAAUAACCCCCUAAUUUGCAACCGAAUUACC